rnacentral:tRNA from 1 species
GCCCUGGUAGCCUAAUGGUAAGGCAUCCGCCUUAAGAGCGGAGUCCCCCAAGGACAUCCGGGUUCAAUUCCCGGCCAGGGCG